rnacentral:rRNA from 1 species
UACGUAGGGGGCAAGCGUUGUCCGGAUUUAUUGGGCGUAAAGAGCGUGUAGGCGGCCAGACAGGUCAGCUGUGAAAACUCGAGGCUCAACCUCGAGACGUCGGUUGAAACCGUUUGGCUAGAGUCCGGAAGAGGAGAGUGGAAUUCCCGGUGUAGCGGUGAAAUGCGCAGAUAUCGGGAAGAACACCCGUGGCGAAGGCGGCUCUCUGGGACGGUACUGACGCUGAGACGCGAAAGCGUGGGGAGCCGAACAGG